GCAGCUCAGGAAGGAGUAGUGAGGUUUGGAGCACACUUUCAUCAGAAGAACAAAACCCAUCUGUAGAACAAGGCAGCCAUAAUGUUUUCUGCCUUGUAGAGAGGAUGCCACAGAAAUCAGCUGUCUGACACAAAUGGUCUUCUACACUGAGGAGCACUCCUUCCCACACAGAGCGGGACUCACUGUACAAGGCAGCAUGGCCUCGUAUUUCAUAAUUAUGGUACAACAGCCAAGGUUACCCCUGGAGAGACUCCAACUCAGGCUUCAAUGAGCUCUGUGAGAUGAGUAAACCAAAAUUGAUGAAAACUAGCAGAGGAUACAGGAUGAAAAGGAGCACAAGGAAAGAUGAAAGACAGAAGAACCAAGGAGCACUGCCUAGACCCUAACAAUGUGAGAAGCUGCAAAAGAUAAGAUGAAUGCUUGAAGAUGUCUAAGAAGGUUUCAUCAGCAGCAGGAAGAGAGAAGGCACAGAAAAAAAUCACCAGAAAUUCCUCCAGAAAAUUGCUUCUUAUACUGUCCUCUAGAUUGGCUUAACCCUGAAGUGCAGGUUGACCUGAAUUCAGCUAUGAGAAAUGUCAUUUUGACUUAGUCCAAACAGAAAUCAUCCUGCCUGCUACCCACACCCAGCCGAGCUGCGCAGUCUGGAGGUCUGGGUGGGUGGCAAACCAUGGAGGCCUCUGCAAGGAAGUGGCACUUGUAGAUAAUCCCUUGUGAAUUCUCAUUACACAAAUUGCAAAGUGGUGGUGAUGACAGAUGUGGACAACGGGCUUUCUCAGCGUGUGACAGCCUGUCUGCAUUCAGUGAGCCAAGCUCCAGCCAUCCCUACACAUACUGCUGAUCUCAGCUGAGUGUUGAGGUGCUGUUUUGUGUGGGAGAGAUGUGGAUGUGCUGCAGAAUGAUUUUUGUAGCAGUGAAUUUACUAAUGCACAGAAUAGACUCCUUUUACAACACAAUGCACUCAAUAUUUCUGACGAAGUGCUGCCAGUUUCUUGAUAGUCGAGCCAUCAACUUUUGGACAAAAUAAUUGCUGGCAAUAUUUUGUGAUUACUCAUUGUUUUCCACCUGCCUCUGAAAGAGUGAAUUAAUUAAGUUUCUC
ensembl:lncRNA